CUCUGGUUCCUCUCCUCCCCUAACCCCCAACCGCGCAGCUCUCCACCAGCACCGCUCAUCCUGCUUCGAAUGAGGGCUCCGCCCUCCAGGUGACUUGCAGUUCUUAACCCCGAGGGCCCCGAAGGGGGUGGUGGCUAGGGGACGGCAUCUUGGAAUCAUACAGUUACAGGUUCGAAUCCUGCUUCUCGCUGUAAAGAAUUAACGCGCAUUUAAUAAUUCGGAGAUGGGCGGCAUUGCCUAGCGGUCAAAGAGCCGCCCCUCCGCCCCCUUCUGGCUUCGUGAUCCUCCGGCAGUCGACUUCACUCUCAGGGCUCCACGGUGCAAAGAAGUGGCUCACUGCCUUGGUAGAGAGCGUUCCCCUGCCUGGGAGUUCCCUAUGCCACUGAAAUCACAGAGGCCCGUCACCAUCCCUGUGAGGCAGGCCCUGCCAGGUUCCAAAAACAAGAACCAGUAGUUGCUGCCCUCCAACAAAAGCACACCCGAAAGUGAAUGCAGACUCGUCGAGGGGAAGGGGCAGUAAGUAAAGGCACCAGGAGCAGGUGCCAUUGGAGAUGUAUGAAAGCAGUUCAGAGUUCCAGGAGGUGGAGGCAGAAACUAGGUUCCCUUGCCUACUCGCUAGUGCUAUAUUCAUAGGCAAGUCUUGGAGGCAUUCUCACGUUCCUCUUCUAACUCCAGUACCUACCUUGCAAGAGCUGCUGUAAGGGACAAAUAAGGUAAUUCACGGUAGAGUGGGAAGGAUCCUGGUCCUGGGUUCAAAUCCCUAUUCUCCUGAUUACUACCAGCGUGUCAUGGUACUUCACUUUUCUUGGGUUCCUGUCUCAUCUACAGAGUGAUAGAAUUUGACUAGAUAACCUCUCGGGCUAUUUCCAGCUCUAAAUCUAUCACAAUCCAAAGCUUAAAAUGCUAUCUAAAUGCCAGCUCUCUCUGUUUCAAUUAUUUCUAAACACCCUUUCCAAACAACCUCCGAGCCUUCAUAGGAAUGAGGUCCAUCCCGGCAACUGAUUAGCCAGAUGCAAUAAAGGCCAAGUUAGUAAUAAGUCAUGGUUCCAUAGCGCUUUAAGCUUACCAAGUACUUUCCUCAAAGUAACCUGUAAGGUAAGCAGUGGGAGCGUUAUUAAGCCUAUAUUACAGAUGGAAAAACUAAGGUUCGCAGAAAUGAUUUGACAAAAGUCAAACAGCAAGAUGGGCUGCAAACCCAGGUUUACUGAUUCCAGAUCCAGCUGCAAGACAAAGAACAAACCGUGGAGCCCUGUGGAGAGGUGCCUGUCACGAGCCAACUGCAAGUGAAGGGCACGAAAUAGAACUGGAAGCCUUGCUUGGCGGGCUGAUCUGCUGACGGAGUGAUCUGUCUAGACAGAAUCUGCUGUUUGUGCCUACCUUGUCACUAGUGGGACCUGGUGAAUUUGUCCGCUUUCCUCUUCCUGUCCCGUUGUGUCCUGAUGAACUGGCAUCACUGGUUUUCCUGCUCUCUUUAAACUACUUUCUGUCCACCCCAAGAACAUGAAGACUUCCCAUGUGGAAUAGGUGGAUGUGAACAAUCUGUUCCAACAAAGCCAUGAAGGCAGCAGAAGCAGGCACUGUGGAGUGCAUAGAGCUUGGUCAGAUGUCAAAGAGCCCAAAGUCAUUGAUUGACAGUUAAUGCUUCCACGUCUCGACUUUCCUCAUCGUGUUGUUAAUAUAUUUUGAGUCAGCACAAGACAUUAAGUGAGAAUUUGAGGGGAGUUCUGCAAAAGUUGCAGAGGACACAUGAAGGCCAGCAGAUGACAAAGAAAAGGUUUAGAAACAGAAAUGCAUAAAACAUAUAGUAUUUUUACUUAACUUUGACCUACAUAUUGCCUAUGACCAAAUACUUAACCCAAAUUUUACAGUAAAGUACUGUAAACACCGCAUAAAAGAAAAAGAAAAAAUUCAGAUUUCUUCUCUGAUAUGAAGGGAGAGCCAAAAAAUUUUACAUGCAUUUUCCAGAUUACCAGGGUGUGGUGCCUCUAACCCUGGCAGUGUGGAAGGGAUAACUGUACUGCAUCCCAAGCUAUCACCAGUUGUCUUGUCAAGGAUUUCAAUGACUUUGGAAGAGAUGUGAGGCAGAACUGCACAAAAUCGUCAACUUGGUGAUUGGCUGCUGACUUUGCACAACCCUGCCUAGCUUAAAUCCAGUUUACAUAAGAGUUAAAAGACAUCACCCAUAUCAUUUCACUGCUUUAUUAUUUUACCGACUGUUUGUACGUGACCUAUGGUAGAGCCUUCUGAGCUUGUACUGGUCUGAUCAGCCACAGCUGGGACACCUUACACUGACCCCAACAUGUCUCUGGUGACACAAAGGACUUCACAUUCAUGAGCAUAAUAUUAAGUCUCAUUGAUGCAUAUUGACAUGUCAUCUUCAUCAACUCACCCCCAUCCAAACCUUAAGGAAUCCUCUGGUAAUGAACCACACACCAAGGUUCCUGCUGUUUUUACCAGUUCUCUCAACUCAGAUCCACUGAAGGUCCAGAGAGUAUCUUUCCUUAGCUAGAGAACUGUUGCCAUGGCCAAAUAAUUCAUUGCCAAGUAUCCAGCCUGGUGGUGAUAAAGCCUUUGUGUUCUUAGCUCACCUGGUCCCCCAAAGGCAGACUCUGUGAGUCCCUGGGACUGUAAUUGAAGCCUUUCAGAUGAGAAUCACAACAUUUAAGAGAAAGAAUUGACUCCAGAUGCCGUCCGGUCCAACUGCUACCUGAAAAGUAAUCCUCCAAAAAAAGUUCAUCCAGCCUUGCCCCAAGGCCGUUAAUGAAGUACUCAGGCAUACAUUGUUACAGAGAUCUAAUGUUUGGUGUUUUGCUUAGUUAUACUUACAUUAUACUUUCAUGUUACUGCAACCCGGGUUUUUGUGAGGGAGAAUGUUGAUAUACUAUGCAUAUGCCUUAAUGAAGGAUGCAUUGGUGUGAGUGCUUGAGAGAGAAGAGAUAUUUCUUAGUUCUAGAUUCUCUUCUGGGCCAACUCUAGACAUUUGAUGAGAGAAAGACUUUGAAGGCUGGAGACAUACAGGAGAAGCUGGCUUCUUAAUGUGCCUUCUGAUUUCCACAUUGCUUCCUUAGAGACCUUGAGGAAUUUCCUUUUGGGUGAGAUGUGGACACCACAAUUAGAACCUCUUGACUGAAUUGAGAUCUCAUUUUCCUCCCAUCUAAACAACUCAUUUGCUCUGUAUAUUUUCUAAUAUAGUCUAAUCCAGAGGUUUGCAAAGUGUGGUAUGGGAAUUAAAACUGUCCAAACUAUGAUAAAAGAGACUGAGGCAGAGUCUGAGCCAGUGAUACUUUAUUAAAGGGUUCCUGGUCCCCUCUAAUGGAGGGGACCUCAGAUCUGAGAUGCCCCCUUCUUCUGAUACUUGCAAAAGAGGCAUGGUAAAAUACAGACUCUCAUUGGUUGAUAGACCUUGCUCUUGAGGGCCAAAAAUGACAUGUUAGCAAGGGAGUCACGGGUUGGGUGAAGCAUGGGGCGUCUCCACUGACUGAGUGGUCAUAAGAUGGUCACUUGCUCAUCUUGGACAAGAGAGAGAGGUCUGGAGAUAUAAAAAUAAAUUGGGGGACUUUCCAAAGCAUCAAGGCAUCCCAUCCAUGCUAGGUUUGGACAUGGAAUUUGAGUAAAACAGGAUGGAGGUAUCUUUGUCAGCAUGCUUGUAAUUGCACAAGUGAGCCUCAUAACUUGGUAAACAAGUAGUGAACAUUACAUUAAAGUUUAGGCCCCCUAUAAGACUAUCUAUCCCUAUAUGAUUUAUGUAGAACAUCACACUGAUUAAUACUGAUUGGGAUAUAGUAGGGGUCCAAAUGAAUUAUUUCUCACAAUGGCCUAUAGGCCAAAUCCUGGCCCCUGUCUGUUUUCGUAUAGCUCCUGAACUUAGAAAAGUAAGAUGAUUUUUUAAAAAAGAAUUCUUACCUAGCAGGCUAUACAAAAAGAGGCAAUGAUUCAGAUCUGGCCCAAGGGUCAUCAUUUCCCAACCUCUGAUCUAAUCUAUGUGACUUUUCAAACUUCUGUUUGUUGUCUGCUUGGAUAAGUGGCUUUACUCACUAGUCACAAUUUAUGAUAGUCUCCUGUGCAGCCAGUGUUUGGUGGAAAUGAACCAAGUUGCACGGUAAACUUGGAGUACCCUUCUGCCUCAAGUGGCUUUUUGAGUUUAUUGUACUCCUAGACCAGAAAUAUUUCGGUGACAGAUAGGUGUAAUUCUAUUUCUGGCAGUCUUGGGAAAGAGUGUCCAGUCCAGCAGUGCUUGGGGUUUGCCUUCCUCUCCUCUGCCACCUUCCCAAACCCCCAGCUAUUGUGCAGGCUUUCUUCCUCUCUUCUGGGAUGACCUAGACCUCAGAUCAUAUCUAUCAGUGCCUCCCAUAAGCCUUAUUUAGACUACCUGCAUCGACAUAAAUGUCUUACAAGAGCAUACACCCACCUUAUAUCACAAAGAAAUAGACUUCUUAUUCUUCUUUAAAUUUGUUCUUUGGUAAUAUGCAGAAAAUUCAAUCCAUGUUUCUGAGCAAGUUUAGCUCUGAAAAUAAAGAAAAUAUUGGAACUCGUCUUGAGUGUUUGGGCCCUUUCCAUAUCACGAUGAAAAGGACCUGAUAGAAAAGCUGAAGGGAAGGUGUCAUUUGACCAUGGCCUGCAGGGUACUAAUGGGCAUUCCAUCACCAGGGUUAACAUUGGGCAAGUCUCAGUAGAAUCGCCAAAGCACAAUGGAUGUGCUUACCUGAUUUCAAGUCCUCAGCUUCCCUGAAAGCCUGCCUCUGGGAACUGCUUUAUUCGAAUAAACAGGCAGAGAGCCUCAGAAAAACUCACCCCAAGGGCUGAGGAACAGGUUUUGAAGAUCAGUUAGGCUUCUCUCCUUUUUCAAAUUGUUUGUGUAUAUUUUGGACUUACUUGCAAAGUGUACUUGUAUCCAUGCAGUAGAAUGUUAGCUGUUUGAGGGCAAGGGCUGGCUCUUCUUUUUUGUCACUGUACCCACACAUUGAGCACAGUGUCUUGCUUUGCAAGGGCUUAC